rnacentral:tRNA from 1 species
GCUCAGUUGGUAGAGCAUGAGACUCUUAAUCUCAGGGUCAUGGUUCCCAGCCCCAUG